CCAGACUCCUACGGGAGGCAGCAGUGGGGAAUAUUGCACAAUGGGGGGAACCCUGAUGCAGCAACGCCGCGUGAAGGAAGACGGUUUUCGGAUUGUAAACUUCUGUUCUUAGUGAAGAAGAAUGACGGUAGCUAAGGAGCAAGCCACGGCUAACUACGUGCCAGCAGCCGCGGUAAUACGUAGGUGGCAAGCGUUGUCCGGAUUUACUGGGUGUAAAGGGAGCGUAGGCGGCAGGGCAAGCCUGAUGUGAAAGCCCGGGGCUCAACCCCGGGACUGCAUUGGGAACUGCCCCGCUCGAGUGCCGGAGGGGCAGGCGGAAUUCCUAGUGUAGCGGUGAAAUGCGUAGAUAUUAGGAGGAACACCAGUGGCGAAGGCGGCCUGCUGGACGGUGUACUGACGCUGAGGCUCGAAAGCGUGGGGAGCAAACAGGAUUAGAUACCCCGGUA
rnacentral:rRNA from 1 species